rnacentral:rRNA from 1 species
GGGGAAUAUUGGACAAUGGGCGCAAGCCUGAUCCAGCCAUGCCGCGUGAGUGAUGAAGGCCUUAGGGUUGUAAAGCUCUUUUGCCAGGGAAGAUAAUGACUGUACCUGGAGAAUAAGCCCCGGCUAACUUCGUGCCAGCAGCCGCGGUAAGACGAAGGGGGCUAGCGUUGUUCGGAAUUACUGGGCGUAAAGCGCACGUAGGCGGCCUUUCAAGUCAGAUGUGAAAGCCCCGAGCUUAACUCGGGAAAUGCAUUUGAUACUGUUGGGCUAGAGACCGGGAGAGGAUAGCGGAAUUCCCAGUGUAGAGGUGAAAUUCGUAGAUAUUGGGAAGAACACCAGUGGCGAAGGCGGCUAUCUGGACCGGUACUGACGCUGAGGUGCGAAAGCGUGGGGAGCAAA